AACGUAGGAGACGACCGUUAUCCGGAGUUACUGGGCGUAAAGCGCGCGCAGGCGGUUCUCCAAGUCAGUGGUGAAAGCCCGGAGCUCAACUCCGGAACUGCCAUUGAAACUGUUGAACUUGAGGACGAGAGAGGUGAGUGGAAUUCCCAGUGUAGAGGUGAAAUUCGUAGAUAUUGGGAAGAACACCAGUGGCGAAGGCGGCUCACUGGCUCGUUUCUGACGCUCAGGCGCGAUAGCGUGGGGAUCAAACAGG
rnacentral:rRNA from 1 species